GGGAUCCCACUCAACCGUCCACCCAGGUGGAAGCUGGGGAAGCCAAGUGCCAACAACAGUGAACUCAGGAGCUUCAACAUCAACUGAAAGAUGUGCCACAAGCAAGGCUGAGCAAGUAUGCUCAACAAGACUUAACCGACCGGGGGAAACUACUCCACCAACUUCUAGAUAUGCAAGGCUUUCUGGCGGAGGGGUUUGUUUUGCCAAAAGCGACUACAGUAGGUCCUUACUUUCAAUAUUUUAGCUUCCAGUUCUAGUUUCAUUUACAAAACUAAGUCAGCAGCUAUACUCAACAAGCAAAAGUUCCAAGCA
rnacentral:lncRNA from 1 species